rnacentral:rRNA from 1 species
CUCCUGGAAACGGGUGGUAAUGCCGGAUACUCCGCCCCCUCGCAUGGGGGGUCGGGAAGGCUUUUGCGGAAUGGGAUGGGGUCGCGUCCUAUCAGCUUGUUGGCGGGGCGACGGCCCACCAAGGCUUCGACGGGUAGCCGGCCUGAGAGGGCGACCGGCCACAUUGGGACUGAGAUACGGCCCAGACUCCUACGGGAGGCAGCAGUGGGGAAUAUUGCACAAUGGGGGGAACCCUGAUGCAGCGACGCCGCGUGCGGGAUGGAGGCCUUCGGGUCGUGAACCGCUUUUGAUUGGGAGCAAGCGUGAGUGAGUGUACCUUUCGAAUAAGCACCGGCUAACUACGUGCCAGCAGCCGCGGUAAUACGUAGGGUGCAAGCGUUGUCCGGAAUCAUUGGGCGUAAAGGGCUCGUAGGCGGUUCGUCGCGUCCGGUGUGAAAGCCCAUCGCUUAACGGUGGGUCUGCGCCGGGUACGGGCGGGCUUGAGUGCGGCAGGGGAGGCUGGAAUUCCCGGUGUAACGGUGGAAUGUGUAGAUAUCGGGAAGAACACC